GUGAACGCUGGCGGUAGGCCUAACACAUGCAAGUCGAACGGCAGCACAGAGGAGCUUGCUCCUUGGGUGGCGAGUGGCGGACGGGUGAGGAAUACAUCGGAAUCUACUCUUUCGUGGGGGAUAACGUAGGGAAACUUACGCUAAUACCGCAUACGACCUUCGGGUGAAAGCAGGGGAUCGCAAGACCUUGCGCGAUUGAAUGAGCCGAUGGCGGAUUAGCUAGUUGGCGGGGUAAAGGCCCACCAAGGCGACGAUCCGGAGCUGGUCUGAGAGGAUGAUCAGCCACACUGGAACUGAGACACGGUCCAGACUCCUACGGGAGGAAGCAGUGGGGAAUAUUGGACAAUGGGCGCAAGCCUGAUCCAGCCAUACCGCGUGGGUGAAGAAGGCCUUCGGGUUGUAAAGCCCUUUUGUUGGGAAAGAAAAGCACACGGUUAAUACCCGAGUGUUCUGACGGUACCCAAAGAAUAAGCACCGGCUAACUUCGUGCCAGCAGCCGCCGUAA
rnacentral:rRNA from 1 species